AGGACGAACGCUGGCGGCGUGCCUAACACAUGCAAGUCGAACGCGCUCCAUUCGGUAGCAAUACUGAUGAAGAGCGAGUGGCGAACGGGUGAGUAGCACGUGAGCAACCUGCCCCGAAGACCGGGACAACACCGGGAAACCGGUGCUAAUACCGGAUAUCCCUAUCGGACCGCAUGAUCUGAUAAGGAAAUGGAUUCCGCUUCGGGAGGGGCUCGCGGCCUAUCAGCUAGUUGGUGAGGUAACGGCCCACCAAGGCAUCGACGGGUAGCUGGUCUGAGAGGACGAUCAGCCACACUGGGACUGAGACACGGCCCAGACUCCUACGGGAGGCAGCAGUGGGGAAUCUUGCGCAAUGGGCGAAAGCCUGACGCAGCAACGCCGCGUGGAGGACGAAGGCUUUCUGAGUUGUAAACUCCUUUCAGCAGGGACGAUAGUGACGGUACCUGCAGAAGAGCACCGGCCAACUCGCGCCAGCAGCCGCGGUAAC
rnacentral:rRNA from 1 species